rnacentral:sRNA from 1 species
CCCUAGCCCUGAUGGGAGCGGCAUCCUUUUGUGUUCGCGAGAGCGGGCGCAAAAGAUACAGCGGACAGCAGGAAUUGGC